GCUGGGUGUGGCGCACGCCUGUAAUCCUAGCCACUCAGGAGGCUGAGACAGGAGAAUAAGGAGUUCAAAGCCAGCCUCAGCAAAGGUGAAGCUCUAAGCAACUCAGUGAGAUCCUGUCUCUA
rnacentral:sRNA from 1 species